UUGGAGUUUGUUGCCAUGC
rnacentral:misc_RNA from 1 species